rnacentral:rRNA from 1 species
CGGAACGUGCCCUGUCGUGGGGGAUAACUAGUCGAAAGAUUAGCUAAUACCGCAUACGACCUGAGGGUGAAAGCGGGGGACCGUAAGGCCUCGCGCGAUAGGAGCGGCCGAUGUCUGAUUAGCUAGUUGGUGGGGUAAAGGCCCACCAAGGCGACGAUCAGUAGCUGGUCUGAGAGGACGAUCAGCCACACUGGGACUGAGACACGGCCCAGACUCCUACGGGAGGCAGCAGUGGGGAAUUUUGGACAAUGGGGGCAACCCUGAUCCAGCAAUGCCGCGUGUGUGAAGAAGGCCUUCGGGUUGUAAAGCACUUUUGUCCGGAAAGAAAUCCCUUGCCCUAAUACGGCGGGGGGAUGACGGUACCGGAAGAAUAAGCACCGGCUAACUACGUGCCAGCAGCCGCGGUAAUACGUAGGGUGCGAGCGUUAAUCGGAAUUACUGGGCGUAAAGCGUGCGCAGGCGGUUUUGUAAGACAGGCGUGAAAUCCCCGAGCUCAACUUGGGAAUGGCGCUUGUGACUGCAAGGCUAGAGUAUGUCAGAAGGGGGGUAGAAUUCCACGUGUAGCAGUGAAAUGCGUAGAGAUGUGGAGGAAUACCGAUGGCGAAGGCAGCCCCCUGGGACGUCACUGACGCUCAUGCACGAAAGCGUGGGGAGCAAACAGGAUUAGAUACCCCUGGUAGUCCACGCCCU